rnacentral:rRNA from 1 species
CCUACGGGUGGCAGCAGUGAGGAAUAUUGGUCAAUGGUCGGGAGACUGAACCAGCCAAGCCGCGUGAGUGAGGAAGGUACAGAGUAUCGUAAACCUCUUUUGUCAGGGAACAAAGGCGGGGACGUGUCCCCGGAUGAGUGUACCUGAAGAAAAAGCAUCGGCUAACUCCGUGCCAGCAGCCGCGGUAAUACGGAGGAUGCGAGCGUUAUCCGGAUUUAUUGGGUUUAAGGGGUGCGCAGGCGGUCUGUUAAGUCAGCGGGUAAAGGCCGGGGCGCAACCCGGGACCGGCGGUUGAAACUGGCAGUCUCGAGUUGGAGAGAGGUAGGCGGAAUGCGCGGUGUAGCGGUGAAAUGCAUAGAUAUCGCGAAGAACUCCGAUUGCGAAGGCAGCAUGCUGGACCCACACUGACGCUGAGGUACGAAAGCGUGGGUAUCGAACAGGAUUAGAUACCCGUGUAGUC